CUCCGCCCACGGGGCGCAGCAGUAGGGAAUUUUCGUCAAUGGGCGCAAGCCUGAACGAGCAAUGCCGCGUGAACGAGGAAGGUCUUCGGAUCGUAAAGUUCUGUUGACGGGGAAAAAAGACCGGGAAAGGAAAUGAUCCCGGAGGAGAUAUUACCCGUCGAGGAAGUCACGGCUAACUACGUGCCAGCAGCCGCGGUAAUACGUAGGUGGCGAGCGGUAUCCGGAAUGAUUGGGCGUAAAGGGGGCGUAGGCGGUCGAUUAAGUCUGGAGUGAAAGGUACCGGCUCAAUCGGUAUAGGCUCCGGG
rnacentral:rRNA from 1 species